AUUGAACGCUGGCGGCAGGCCUAACACAUGCAAGUCGAGCGAGCGGCGGACGGGUGAGUAAUGUCUGGGAAACUGCCUGAUGGAGGGGGAUAACUACUGGAAACGGUAGCUAAUACCGCAUACCAUCGGAUGUGCCCAGAUGGGAUUAGCUAGGUGGUGGGGUAAAGGCUCACCAAGGCGACGAUCCCUAGCUGGUCUGAGAGGAUGAUCAGCCACACUGGAACUGAGACACGGUCCAGACUCCUACGGGAGGCAGCAGUGGGGAAUAUUGCACAAUGGGCGCAAGCCUGAUGCAGCCAUGCCGCGUGUAUGAAGAAGGCCUUCGGGUUGUAAAGUACUUUCAGCGGGGAGGCGUUACCCGCAGAAGAAGCACCGGCUAACUCCGUGCCAGCAGCCGCGGUAAUUC
rnacentral:rRNA from 1 species